GGGGAUAUAGCUCAGGGGUAGAGCGUUCACUCAGCAUGGGAGAGGGCUGGGGUUCAAUUCCCCAUAUCUCCA
rfam:Toxocara canis scaffold644, whole genome shotgun sequence.